rnacentral:rRNA from 1 species
AGCAGCCGCGGUAAUUCCAGCUCCAAUAGCGUAUAUUAAAGUUGUUGCAGUUAAAAAGCUCGUAGUUGAAUUUCGGGAUUAGUACGCUGGUCAUGCCUUUGGUAUGUACUGGUGUUACUGAUUUCUACCUUCUGAAGAACCGUUAUGUCAUUCAUUUGGUGUGGCGGGGAACCAGGACUGUUACUUUGAAAAAAUUAGAGUGUUUAAAGCAGGCUCGCGCUUGAAUACAUUAGCAUGGAAUAAUGAAAUAGGACGUUGAUCCUAUUUUGUUGGUUUCUAGGAUUGACGUAAUGAUUAAUAGGGAUAGUUGGGGGCAUUAGUAUUCAAUUGUCAGAGGUGAAAUUCUUGGAUUUAUUGAAGACUAACUACUGCGAAAGCAUUUGCCAAGGAUGUUUUCAUUAAUCAAGAACGAAAGUUAGGGGAUCGAAGACGAUCAGAUACCGUCGUAGUCUUAACCAUAAACUAUGCCGACUAGGGAUCGGAUGAUGUUAAUUUUUUAAUGUACUCAUUCGGCGCCUUA